ensembl:lncRNA
UGAGGAGGAAAGCUGCAGAGCUUCCUUCUCAGUUUACCCACAGCUCCCACUGAGCCAACACUCACCGGGCUACACACGGACACUAUCACAAAAUGGAACCAGGAACGGAUGAAUCUCCCGAAAACCUAUGGAGAUUAAAAUCUCUUUUUGAGGGAGAAUUUGCCAAGACGACCACGUGAAACCAAAUGGUAUCACAGAGGAAGAUCCCUGAUGACUAACUGCUGUGUGCCAAGACGUGUUGUGGAUAGGAAUGUUGUACGCCUUCUGAGAAACCGGACCGAAGGGAACACAAGCUGAGGACUACCUUCACUGUGGUGUCUGGGGAGGGGCAAGGCUCAGUUGAGUGGUUCACCAGCAUCGGAAACGAGCAAACUGUUUCGUUUGUGCUGACCCGUGAGGAGUUCACAGACAAACUGGGGCCGAUGUGCAGGGGAGUUAUGAAAAGAUUUCAGUUGGCCAAUCAACCUGUCCCCAAAAUCCUGUACGUGGACCGUGGGUGUUGCCGAGCACAGGACCCAACAGCAGUGGAGACUUUGUUUCAGCCUGGGGUGGACUGUGGGUUGGUUGUGUGUCUGGGCAUCUUCCACUGGAUCCACUGGUUUGAGUCCCACUCCAAGUACGCUGCUUUUAAAUCUGCGCUCGCCUGAGCAGUGCUGGCCUACAAUCACAGUCAGUCAGAGCUAAAAAUCCAGCAGUGCUGCAGUCUGCCUCUGAUAAUGACGUUGUCAGGAGCAGCUGAAGCAUCAUGUGCAGAGGGUGACACUCGGGGCUCAGGAAACAUUUCAGCUCAUCCACCUGAUGAGUAGCUUAAAGAUCCUGCUGGAUUGGAUGAGAGUGGAGUGAGCCUCUUCAGAACACCUGGUAACAGACAAAAUUAAUACAACAUUGAUACACACAGUGCAGCGUACAAAGUGAACAUAACACACUGUAUGUAUGUGUGUUUACAGAGGCCAUUGAUGGGAUGUGGGCAGCACAACAGAGACAUCUGCAGUGCAUCCAGGAUCCACCAGACAUUAACAUGUACAAGGUGGCACAAACCAACCAUCAACAACAUGGAUGUGUCCUCCUCCAAGUGCCUGCAUGUGUAACAGAGAGAGCUGGGCCAGACCAGCCACACAUGGAAACAUCAGCCUGGAAGGAUUCCACAAGACUUUGUCAAGCAGGAUUCCAGGGGCAGAGGAUGGUGUUACUGGAACUACUCUGCACCGCUGAUCAACCACCUCAACACCUCCUGUCAGCAGCUGUCUGGGGAGACUGGAGGAGAAUUUCAGGAUCCCUGCUGUUGUCUCCUCCAACGAGCUGCUUGAGUAUGGGGGAAUCCAGACCCUUCUCUCUUCAGGACAUCAUCAACGAUGGACCUGGUCCCGAGCAGGAGGAGGUUCAGUCUGGGCAGCCUGAUCCAGACGAGGCUGAUGACGGGGAGGAACAUGAGCUGGAUGCUGACCUGCCCCACAUCACGCUUAACUAGUGAGGAAACUAUCACCAGGCCUGCAUCAUCCCUCGCUGUAUCCACAGCAGCCCAAAAGAUUGCUGGCGUCUCUGGGAUUACUGGCCCCUCCAGACAGCCCAUCCUGCUUGCUUCAUCAGACCCUGCAACUGCAGCUCACACUGCUGGCACACCUGUGACUACUUCUUCGUGCUGGACAAGAGCAACGCUGUACAAGCAGAAGCUGAAGGGCUACCAGGGUGCAAAAUCUGCCAGCAUGUACAGUCUGUGGCCAGCCAACACAGGGACAUAGAAAGUAGAAAAAAGGCUUUCUGCCCAGUAACAAUGAUGUCCCCGUUUAAAGGUCUGAGCAACAGAGUGUUUACCAGCUACGAGCACUUCACCUCUGCUGUUGACAGUUUGAAUUGUAAAUAUGCUGUAAAUACGCAAGGUUGCUUUGUACAUUUUGUAUGUUUGGGGCACUGAAUUGUAAAUAUCUGUAAAUAUGUUAGAGUUGCUUUUUAUAUGCUGUGAUUGAUUUAGAAAUACAUUAGGUUUGCUUUGUAUAUACUGUAAAUAAUUUUCAUUAGUCUGAGUUUUUAUUUAGUUUUUUACACUUAAAUUGUCUAAAAUCCUGUGUACUGUAUUAUUUUUAUUCAAUAAAGUG